CACACCUCGGUGUUUGCAGAGCCUCGGCUUCGGCCCCGGCGGUCCGGGAGCGGACGCCUAGCCCUGGGCCGGGCGGCCCUGAAGAGGGAAGUGCGGCUGCGGGGCCGCGGGGACUUACCUGCAGCAGCACGGCCAGCAGGAAGCACAAUGUCCUGGUGACCAGUUUUCUAUUUCUUCAUCUUCCUUCCAUGGUGGAGACAUGCCCAUUGAGGAUAAAAUAAGAACUAAGGUAGGUGAAGGAAAAAUAAAGAAGAUGAGAUUUUAGGAACAAAAUAUCUAUGACAUAAAAUGCACUAAUAGAAGUAAUAACUAAUAAAGAUAUUUGAAGUGA